rnacentral:lncRNA from 1 species
UCUCGGUGCUUUCUGACCCGAGACGCAGCACGACCCGAGAGAGAGACCGACCGGAACUUCCACGUCCGGCCACCCCACGUCAGCGCGCUACCACCCACGCCUUCGUCUCUGCAUCGCCUACCUCCCUGCAGCCUCUAAUCGUCCAUGCAUCGACUGUGAGAGGAGAAUCGACGGCUGGAAGCUCCGAGACUUCUCCGGCGAGUUCUGUAAUUUUCGAGGAUUCCGGCCACA